rnacentral:rRNA from 1 species
UAAUUCGAUGAUGCACGAGAAACCUUACCUAGGCCUCGACAUAAGCAUGACGGCUGUAGAGAUACAGCUAGUCUUCGGAGCGUGUGUACAGAUGGUCCAUGGCAGUAGUCAGCUCUUGAUGUGAAGCAUGGGGUUAAGUUCCGCAAAGAGCGCUACCCCUGCUGUCGGUGGCCAACAGGUAAUGCUGCGGACUCGGACAAUUCUCCCGGUGACAAACCGGUGGAAGUUGGGGACGACUUCAAGUCAUCAUGGCCCCGAUGUCCUGGGCUACCCACCUGCUCCUAUGGUCGGUACAGAGCGAAGAGAAACCCAGCAAUAGAGCAAAUCGCAGAAAGCCCGUCCCACUUCGGAAUGAAGUGUGAAACCAGACUUCAUGAAGGAGGAAUCGUUCGUAAUCGCGCAUCAGCAUGGCGCGGUGAAUAUGUUCCCGGGCCUUGUACACCCCGCCCGUCACACCACCCGAGUUGGUGGUACCGGGAACAAGCUCCCUAACCUCUAUCGACGA